CAUCACCCCACCUCUCCAAGCAACCUGAUGUACAAAUUGAAGAGCACAGAGGAUGAGAUAGAGUCCAGUAGGUUUCCACAGGUGACAGCAAUUAGGCUGGCAGAGAAAUGGAGUGGAAGGAAGAUUUCUGCAGAGCAGCUGUCAGCGCCAUUCGUUUGCCAGGGACUAGAAGCAUGUAAUUCACAACUUCGACAGGACAAAGCGCUAUGGCAUCUGGCCAGCCAACAUGGAACUGGGCUUCAUAACAGAAAAUCAGCUCCUGGGAAAGGAGGAGUCGUAGCAGCUGAGAAAAUGAACAGCUGCAUCAGGGGAAGAACAGCAAUAAGAAGACAAUUCACAGGCUCUGGAUGAUAGACACCAAAUUAAUCAAAGGGGACAGGUGGGGAACAGCACUCCAUGUAUCACUGAGAUCUUGGCUGUGCCACCGCGGAAGAGAGAGGAUAGCAAGACAUCUUCAUUUUGGCUGCUCAUGAGCCAUGAGAGAGAUGUAGCGUGUAUGUGCGUGUGUGUGUGCACACACGCACAUGCACUUACACACAAAUAAACAAGGACACAAAUAAUCAUCCUGUUAGACAAGCCUCAUCUACUGCCUUUUACUUGCUGCCCCACGCUCCUCAAGAUUUGGCGCAGGCAUGAGUACCCAACGAUCAAGGCGCUGUGGCCCAGGGGAUGGGGGGAAAUGGACUGGGACCCCCCCCCAAGUCUGAGGGGUCAAGCUUUUGCUGAGUGAACUCAGGCGAGU